AGUCAAAAUUCAAGUGAGCAUUUUUAUAGAAAUUUGAAAGCUUAUUCUAAAUUUUUGUUGGGAAACCGUCCUCCAUGUGUCUCUUGUACUGCUUGCUACACAUCUUACUUAGAAGGCUAAGAAACCAAGCCCUGAUCAUUUCUUAUCACGUUUGUUUCUUACAGUUGUGUUUGCAGAGAGCAACUUUGAGGUAUGAGAUAAUGUUUCACUCUGGGACAAAGAACAGGCUUUCUUACAGCUUGAUAUAAAACAGAUGAAUUCCCCAAGUCCAGUGUACCUCUUCUGCAAUGCAACCAAUUGCAUGUACAGGCAUCCAUCUGGGCCCAUGUCACAUCACCCUAUGGGUCUUGGGGAUGGGGAGCAAGGGAAACUGAUGUGGAUGAUAAUGCUCAUAAUGCUUACCAUGCCAUGGGUAAUAGAGUUCUUUGCCAUAGACCUAGGAUUCUUGAGGGUUUUUGUUUUUUUUUUCCAGCUUCCAUGAAACAGUAGUAUAGGCUAACUUGUUAGCUUCCAAGUAGAGUAAAAUCAAAUCCCUGACACAACAGUUAAUUCAAAGUUCCUAAAGUAGCUAAAAAUAUUUCUUUUAAGUUGAGGCACUUGAAUAUUCUGGUUAUGAAGCUAUAAUAAUUAAGACAAUAUGGCAUUGGCAUGCGAAUAGAGUCCAGAAAUAGCAAUCAAUGGAACAGAACAGAGAGUCCAGAAAUAGACCCAUACAAAUAAAAUUAACUGAUUUUCAACAAUGUUAACAGGAUAAUUCAAUGGGGGAAAGGAUAUUUUUAGCAAAUGGUGCUGAAAACAUAUGAUAUCCAUGUGCAAAAGAAAUCAUCUGGAGCCAUACUUUAAACCUUAUAAAUAACUCAAGAUGGAUCUCAGACCCAAUGGUAAGAGCUAAAACAAUAAAAUUUCUAGAAGAAAACGGAAAAUUUUUGUGACCUUGAGUUAGGCAAAGAAUUUUUAGGUAGGACACAAAAAGCACAAAUCACAGGUGAAAAAUUGAAAACUUGGAAUUUACCAUUAAAAGCAUCUUGUUCUUUAAAAGACACUGUUAAGAAAAUAAGUAUAUAAGCCAUGGGAUGAGAGAAAAUAAUUGCAAAACACAUAUCAGGUAAGGGACUUGUAUCCAAAAUAUGUAAAGAACACCUAUAAAUUAAGAAUAGGAAGACAACCCAAUAUAAAGUGGGCAGAAGAUUAUACAGAUACUUUACCAAAUAUGCAAAUGGCCAGUAAGCACAUGUUCAACAUCAUUAGCUGUUAGGGAAAAUGCAAAUUAAAACCACAAUUUGCUACUGCACAUUCCUGGAAUAACUAAAAUGAAAAAGUCUGAGAAUACGAAGUGAUGGUGAGAAUGUGGAGCAACUCGAAUGCCCAUAUAUUGCUUGUGGGGUUGCAAAAUGGUACAACCACUUUGAAAAACAGUCUGGCAAUUUCUCAUGAAGUUAAACAUGUACUUACCAUAUAUCCCAGUAAUUCUAUUUCUGGAUAUUUGCCUAAUAUAAAAACAUUUGUCUACAGAAAGACCUGAGUGUCAUAGCAGCUGAAUGCUCAAUAAGCUGAAUGUUUAUGGCAACUUUAUUCAUAACAAUAAAAAAAAACUUGAAACAAUCCAAAUGACCAUCAAUUGGGGAGUGGAUAAACAAAUUGUGGUGCAUUCAUACAAUGACAUGCUACUCAAGAGUGAAAAGGACAAGACCAUGGAUACAAGCAACAAGGUGGAAAAACCUCAAAAGCAUGAUGCCAAUAAAACUAGCUAGCGCUAAAAGAUGUAUAUUGUAUGGCUCCAUCUAUAUGGCACCCUACAAAAGGCAAAACUACAGAGACAGAAAGUAGGUUGGUUUUUGCCAGAGGGUAGAGCUGGUGAAAGAGGAUUAACCUUUGAAAAGGUACAGCAGAAUUGUUUUGGAGUGGUGGAAGUAUUCUAUAUUUUGAUUGUGGUGGUAGGUACACAACUGUAUCCUGCUAAAAUUCCUCAGAUUUAACACUUAAAAGUUGAAUUUUAUUGUAUGUACAAAUAGAGAAUGGAAGAACAAAAGAAUGAGGAAAGGAAGCAAGAAAGGAAGGAAGAAAGGGUGGGAGGGAGGAAGAACGGAAGGGAGGGAAAGACAAAUUUCUUCUCAUUCUUUAUCCCUCUUUGAGAUGCCUCUCUGUGGAUCCUGUCACCUCUACUGGGGAGCAAAAAGAACACAGAAGUUGGAGCCGACGGAUCCCAUGCCUAGCUGGGUAAUUAGGCAAAUCUCAGCCUCUGGAAAUGCAGCUUCUUCUGUAACCUACCUCAGAGGGCUGUUGUGAGGAUUGAAUGGGGUAACAUUUAAACUAACUGGCAAAAGCAGGUUCUCAAUAUAUUAAAAUUCACAUGAAAAAGAUAAACCAGGAAGGGAGUUGGCAGGAAGCCAGGAAGCCUCCUGUGUUCUCUGCAGGAGGCUUAUCUAGUUCAUCAGGAUCUUGGGAACAGCUAGUCUUCCUCUGCUGCAUUCUGAGAGUUAGGUGAUGAGUCACCACCUCAAGAGGCCAUCUAGUUCUGGCCGAUCUAUCUGACUGGAUCGUGGACCCUAGGACCCAGCUAACUUGUUCUCCAGCCAAUUUAGAAGAAUGAGUAGCAAAAAUAAUAUGGCAAGUAUUUCUUGAAGUGCCCUAACCCUCUGUCCUUAUUAGUGUACCCUGUCAGGAGUGGCCUGCCUUGACUUUCUGUCAAACUGGAGCAGCCUGAGACUAAGGGCAAAUGCCCUCUUGGCCUUGGCCGGCCACAACUUGGAUAUGCAGGUCAGGCUUAUUGUUAGGGAAGCUCUGAGACUCAAUUAAUCUGAUGCCUUUUUAUUAUGAGUUCAGGUGCAGCUCCAUUUACAAGUUUUUCUUUCAAAAUCAUUCAGCCAUUAAAGCUGCAUAAUCUUGGAAGGUUUUGAAGACGCAUGAUUGGUAAAUGUUUUUCCCCUUCACACAUUAUCUCUCAUGUUUAUUCAUGAAAAGUGAACCAGUCUUAUAAUUUAAACAGUGUCUUGGGGUAUCUGGCCUCCUGUAUUUCUAAGGGGGAGGAAAGAUGAGGCUAGCCCAGAAGCCAUUUAAAAAGGGGAUUUGAGGCCUGAACGCAGAGAACUCAAUCCCAGGUACUAAUGACCUUGCUUUGGCUUGCAAGACUAAGCCUGAGGCCUGUGGCACUUAAGAGGGUUACUGGGUACCCAGACAGGCAAAUGCCUGUUGAUUGGAUGGCUAAAUUGUGAAGAAAGCAAAGCUUACCUGUGCAAUGUGUCCAUGCCUUCAUUCCUACUUUCUGAAUCAACAGUGCCUGUUAUUGUUCUGCCCAACUGUUAAGAUGUUCCACCUGUGCCUGCUCUUUGGCGCAGUACUCCAGGCUAUAGAUCAACAUUUCUCAAACCUGGCUGCACAUUAGAGUCAUCUGGGGAUCUUUUAAAAACCCAGCUGCCUUGGCUGCACAUCUGAUCAUUACGUCAGACUCUUGUAGGGAGGAGUAUAGACAUCAGCAUUGAUUAAAACUCCUGAGAUAAUUCCAAUGUGCAGUCAGGAUUGAGAACAGCUGGUCUACACCAGUUCCUCUUGAAGUAUGGUCUGUAAGUCACAGGCUGCAGAAUCUCCUUGGAUGUUUGUGGGAAAUGCAGAUUGCUAGGUUCACCAGCCCUAUAGGCACUGAGUCUCAAGGUGAGAUCUGGAAAAUGUGUUUUAAUAAGCUCCCCAGGUGAUUCCUAAGCUUUUUGCAAGUACCGCUGCUUCUUAUGAUAUGGCCGUUCUUGCUUCCCAUCAGUUAUCCUUGUCUUUCAGUUCCUCAAAGAUAUCAAGUUUCAUUCAUCCUCAGGACCACUGCAUAUGAUAGUCGCUCUACUUGGAAGACAUUUUCCUCUUUCUCCUUGUUAUUAGGCAUUUGGCAGACUUAACAAUGAGGCUAUUGUAACCCCAGAAAGUCAUUGCAAAGUGCCUGCUUAGGGGGUUAAGAGUAGACACUGCAGGGCCUUGGAAUAGUAAUGGUUUACUAUUUAAUGAGUUCCCUGUCACUGGAAGUCAUAGAGAGAUUGCUCCAGGCAUGGUGGGAGAAAAGCCAGUUUGACAGGCGGUGGAGGGAUAAGAGGGAAGACUUGAGUGACGUGGCACAAACUGGGUCAGAUCUAUUAAAGAGGCAGCCCUGGGCAGCUGGCAAGAGAUCAUGUCAAGAGACACAAUGCAGGUGCCAGCAGGACCAGAAGAUCAGCUUCUUAGAGCGAGUGCCACCUGGAAGGGGGAAACCAAGGGAAGGGGCACAGCAAAGGGCAAAGCUGGGUGGUGGAGGAAGUACCCAAACAGAGGGAAGAGCCACUCUGGCCACAUCAAGUGAAUACUGAUGAUCGGGAAACAUUCAUGGGAAGUUAUUUCACUCUCUCGAGUCCAGUGUAAGUGAGAAAGUGUAAUUUAAUUUAAAAGAGCCUAAUUUAGCCUUCCAUCAACUGUAGAUCUUUUAACGAGACCUUUAUUCUUCUAGGACAGCAUUUCUCAAACUUUAAUGUGCGUAGGAAUCUUAUUAAAAUGCAGAUUCUGAUUCAGUACGUCUGGGGUAAGGGCUGAGAUUCAGCACUUCUAACCGGCUCCUAGAUGCCCCCGGUCUGAGCACUACACUUAGAGCAAGCAGGUUUGAACAUUGCGACUUAUAACAGUGGACCCAUGGUGUAGACAAGUCCAGAAAUGACUGCUGAAUCAACAGUUUUUAUGUUAGCUUCCGUAUACCUUCAGAAUUCAGUGUUUGUGUGCAUUCUAAUUCUCUAAAUGAUGUAUAUUAGAUUUCCAUUAACGAAAAUAUAUGUUUAAGUGGAACUCUCCAAUUCCAACUUGCCAAAUAAAAUAAAAAAUUCCUGUCAUUUU
rnacentral:lncRNA from 10 species